CCUCUUUCAAAAUUCGCCGCGAGGCCCUAUCUUCGCAAUGUCGCCUUCGGGCGACUAUGGCGAUAAACGGCGUGCGCAAUAGCUGUUGCGGACCCGGGGGCAGUACCCGGCGCCUCCACCAGUUUUGCCGGGCCCCGGCGGUUUAGGGGCGGGUUUGCGUCCCGCGCGCCGCCAGCGGCCCGGCCCUUCAUGGGGGCGAAACAGGAUCGACGUGCAGUAAAAGGUUCGCUUUUCGCCCGGCAUUGUACCACCGUUAUCGGGCUACCUUCACAGAUGCUAACGACAACGAUCGUUUGGCUCUCGCUGCCUAGCUUCUAGGAAAGCGCGGCCCGGGGGGCGCCGGGCAACAGAAGCCCCCCACU
rnacentral:tmRNA from 1 species